UAACAGGGAGUACCACCUCUAACUGGAAAGCAAAACAAGCGUCUGGAAGGCAUAAACGGCGCUGAAUUUUUGAAGAUUUUAAUUAUUUGCAGUGGGCUGAGUUUUAAAAUGGCAAUAAUAAUGGCUGAAUCGAGUUACGAAAGGCGCGUAAAGGCAUUGUACGAAAAGCAAAUUCGCAUGGAAGCACUCGAGGGGAAAUUCAUCAAAAAGGUCUAUAAAUUCAACAGCAAUUUAUUGGAUGUCAAAGAAGCAGUUUUGCGCCAUCAGCGGAAAGUGGGAAAGUUGCAAAAAGUUGUCAUGGAGCGGCGGGAGGAGUUGGAAAAGCGAGUUUCCUUUAUGGAGGAACUUGCUCAAGAACUCGAGGCUACCAAACUUCGAAAUUUGGCCAUGAAAGAUCAGAUUAAACAGCGAAAGAUGCUGGCUAGACAGCGGAAAAAUGAAAUCAUGGAAAGGAUUCACACGCUGUCGAAGACAACAGGAACCUAUGUAAAUCAUGAGGCGCUGCCGGCACGUGUGAAGGGUGUCACUGUACUCCGUGGCGAUAAGCGCGACCAGUUGAUACCCUUUGAUCUGAAUGCGACCGACGCGGAAGGACUGGACUCACUUUGUCAGCACCUCGAGAGCCUGAAUGUCGACGUGUCGCAGUGGCAACAGCUUGUCUCGCUGGCCAUGGAUGUGGCUAUGGAGGCACGUGCUCCUAUUACUCCGCCUAAGGAAGCAGCCAAUUGCAAGUCGAUAAUUGAGAUUGAUCUUACCUCGCCGACCAGUCAUCAGGCCUGACUUCCGAUUAAAUGAUUUGCUUGGCCUGGGGAUGCCCCUUUGCCAAUGAAGCACUUUAAUUUGGCAUAAUAAAUAGUUGCCGACUAAUGAUACGUCUAAUUGAGAACUAAUCUUUUCAAAUUAGGUCUUAUUUGGAUUACAGUAGUUAUUUUUAGCGCGUUAAGUACACCUUGUAAUUUCUUAAAUGCACUAUUAAUUAUACAUAUACCAACUUGUUACGAUAAGAUAGAACGGAUAAAUAUAGAUCCCAAAAAUCUUUUCGGAGACAUCGCUAUUAGGCGACUUAAGAUUAGGAGAUGUCACGAAUGACUCCAAUGCCAGUUGGUUGGAAUUAAUCAUAUUCAAAACCAGUUAUUGAAUGAAAUUGUUUGAAAUCAAAGACUUACUGGUCUUGGUAUAACAUUUAUUUACAUUUACG
rnacentral:misc_RNA from 1 species